rnacentral:lncRNA from 1 species
CUCUGCCUGGCCUAGUUGUCACCCUGGGAGACCAUGAGCACGUGUAAUAUUUGAGUGUCUUGAAAUACUUGAAGAUACAACAAAAAUAACACCCCAGUAUAAUGAAAGGCAGGAGUACAAAUCGGUGUAUACCUGGAAUCAGCAAGCCAAGUAAAUAGAAAACACCACAUACUUUGAAAAAUACUUUCCUCCAGGUAGUUUCUUGUUUCAUAUGGCUGGUUGUUAUCUAAUAUUUUCUCCCUAUGUACUAUCCAUAUCUAUCUUUU